CAGUUGCAUUUAUCAUGGUCUAUGAGGAUGGCAAAGGGUCUGUGGCCGCUGACCCGAGGGGAUAGGGUAUUCUUCAAGCCUUGAAGACCAGUCUCCACAUCCCCCAAGCAGACCGCUCCACCCCCAUAGCUGAGACAAGGUGUCCCUUCACACCGCUGGAGGCAUCGCCUUUGGCCUGCGCCAGCAGCCACCCAGCAACGCCUAGGGGUCCGCCUGAGCGAAGCAAGAACUUGGACACUUUAGCAAACUCUCCCCCUUUUUCUUCUUCCUCCACCGUUUUCUGGCUCAGAAACUGCACUAGGUGGCCCCCCAGGUCACUCCUUGGGUAGCAGACAGCUACCCGACAGAAGAUACAUUACUGGGCUGCUCCUGGAGAAGACCAAAACCCUGUCAAGAAGUGGAAGAAUAUACUGACACUAGAAGAAAAAAGGCUUUCCGAGACAGACAAUAUUAUGUAUAAAGCUCUACAGUUUCCUUCAUCCUGCACACAGCGGUGGCCCUGUGUGUCGUUUCACUCCUCAGCUUCACACUUGGCAUGCUUCGGGAAAGCCUCGUGCCCCAAGCUCUCCACGCAGCAGCUCUCACAAAGACUCAGUUUGCCCCAACAAUUCCCUCAGCCCCAGACUCCAAGCUGAAUGUUCCCCAACUACCCAUCUAGUGGAGGAACCAGUCCACUUUGGCCAAAUGUCCCCAAACCACACACCUUCUAAAUAUCUAGAGGUUUCCUGGGCUAGACCUUAAAUCAGAAAAUGCUCGAAACUGAUGCAUCAUUCCAUCAUCACCACCAGCACUUCUUCCUCCAUCACACACCUCUCCUCCUCUCCUGCCCCAGCCUCGAGACACAUGCUGCUCUUCCUCACUGGGAUCUCAACCACACGCAUACGCAGCAUGUUCAAGGGGCUUUCAACCAGCUGCUUCUCAGACAUAAGUCAGCCAUAUUGUUGUCUGCUUGUAAGACAGGAAUAGAUAAUGGAAGGGGCAGGGGUGCAAAAUAAGAGCUUGACACGUUUGAGAGAAGAAUCAGCAUGCUGGGGAGGAAUGUACUAGGGUAUCUAGUUCCUGGUAAGUAGCCCCCUGGAAACAGCCAGGAGGAAAGGCAAGGCCUGGCCUCCAUUCAGUCACUCACUCCUUGUUCCAGUGCUACCUCCCUCCUUGGGAUGAGGCUCGUGGCUUUGGCUGGGCAGAGCUGGCCCCACACUUUCCUCAGACAGCAAGCUGGAACUGAGCAGCAGCAAAGCUCUGGGUCCCAGACUCUCUGCAAGACAGAAAAGCCUGCUCAGCCCUAGGUUUGGAUACUGAGUGGCCACCUCCUGACCUGCUCUCUCCUCUCAGCACUGAACACCAUCCUGUCCAUCCCUGAGCACAGAGGGAAAAUGUCCACGUCAGGGUCUUCAGCCAACACCAAAUCCCCAGGGGAAAGGCUGCAGCCAACGUAGGCGCAGCACCAGCGGCUGCCCGUUUACAUUACCAGAGCCGCUAAAGGCACAUGUGCUCAGAUGGACAGCCUGGGGUCAGAACCCAGCUCCGCACGCUCACCGUUUGACCGUGGACAAGAUGUUGUGGCCCGCAUCUUUAAAAUUUCACACAGCUCUGGGCACACAGCUGGUGCCCGGCCAGCUGAAUUGAACCAAUGAGAUUCCAGGUCCGUCCGUCUUCUGCCCUACCCCAACCCUGUAACUACUUCUGGGUGAGUAUCACUUUAUCUCUGUCCCCUGGAAAGUGGGGCAUGAAGGCUUGUACGGUUCCGCCACGUCAGGAAGCCCAUAAAAAUACAAAGUACAGCCAGAAAGAAAAUGAAACUUUGGGAAACAAGAUGGUGAUCAUGAACAUAGCCAUGGGGACAAAUCCAAAGAGUCCUUUCUUCACUUGGAGAAGUCACACGGCUGUCUCCUUGCAGGGAAGACAUAUUUGGAACCAAAACUGAAGCCCCAGGAACCAGCGCACAGCAUCACGGAACCCCUCUGAGACAUAUCGCCUGACGAAUCAUCCCAGGGGCUGGGGCUGUGCAGGUGUCACCCCCAGAACUGCUUCCCCUACCAGACACACAGGAUGGAGAAUUCCAGAAGGAACUGCGAGUGCUCACACGUCCACACCCUGCAAUAGUAACCGAAACAGAACCUGCCACCGUCAAGGCCCCACAUUUGUACAGACAGGCACCUGAGUGUUUACACAAGGCCUGCAAGCUCUCCUUGCAUGAUGUAAGAUGCCAGCAACUGCCACAGUUUCCAUUGCAUAGGAAUUCCUAGAGCGAGACCACAGGGGCCCACACCUCUCUUUUCCACACAGGGGAUGCCACAGGGAGGGUGAGCCUUUGGGUUGAGUGAGACUCUCGUAAAGCAGCCGGAAGGCAACUGCCCUUAACAAGGGGCCUCUCUCCUCUUCCCACGUGCCUUUAUAAGGGCUUCUGCCACUAAUGAGCAUUCGAGCAGAAGCAAACAUGUAGAGAGAGAGAAAGGAGCUGCACUGAACUUCCCAGAACCACAGACCAGCUUCGAGAUGAGUGAGAGCCUAGCAAUGCCAGGAUCAUGAAAUCAUGGGCUCAGGUCCUGAAAGGCUUGACCUUAACCCUGCUGAACCCUCAGACCACAUGACAGCUCCUAAGAAGUGCCAGUUAAAUAUGUUAAACUGAGAAAUUGCAACUAGAACCCAAGGCUUUGCCAUUUUAUUCAAAAAUGUUUACUUCAUGUUUCCCCAUUAAAUAUAAGCAACUUCCCCCUUGUAUAUAUUUGCACCACAUUCACACAAUGUGUUCCCCGUCAACAUUUGAAUUAUGGGCACAGGCCCUGAAAUGUUAGUUUUGUGCUAAGAUAAAUAUUGGAAUAAUAUUCACUCUGCUUUUUUGAAGUAGUCAACAUCACAAUUUGUGAUUGAAGAGCGAAGGCACCAUUUGCUUUCUGAAGUAACAAAAGGAUAACAAGCAAUCCUCUUGGGGAAAGGAAUCAAAAUGGCCUCCUGGAACCCUCUCACUGCCUCUGUCAUUAUUGUAUCUGCUGACACCGGACCAGCACAGCUUCUCUGAUGGCACUCGGCAAAUACCCUGAGCCCCUGAGCCUGGCCCUGGGAGGAUGAUGAUGCUCACAGUGUGCCCCGCACCUGCCACCACCAGCCCCAACGAGGAACAGGUAAAGGCCCAGCACCAUUGUCAAACCCAGCCUGGGUUUCCUGAUGACUUUACAUGGAGCUCUAGAAAAAGAAGAGAGACAGGGAGGGAGGUAAGGUAGGGCUUACACACAGCCCCUGAGGAUAAAUCCCCUCUCCGAUUCCUGUGUGGGCCACGUUGGCUGGAAAAGUAUCGGUCCUCUGUUCACAUCCCCCUGCAACUCUCACAGGUUCCCCUGAAGGCCUGCCUCUGUGGGCUGACAAAAGCAAGAACCACUGAGGGGACAGCUCAGAAACACAGCACACCCUGCUCUGCCACACAAGAGCCACGCAAGGGCCAUAUCUGGGGAAAGCCACAGGGCUCAAAUUCAGGCCACCCACAGUCUGAAGCCCACACCCAGUUCUGGCAUUUCUGAUCAUUCUGGUCAUUUUGAGCUCAAAAUGAUGCCUGGGGUGAGUCAGGAAGCGUUUCCCUCUGCUGGUGAGGGCACUCUGGGGGGUGAUGAUUCAAGCAACCCAGCAGCAGUUUGCUGAGCUCUCUCCCCUGCCAUACUUCUCUCACGGUAUCAGAAGCCAAUUCUGUGAGGGAAUCAGAGCAGGUGGUAGGAUCCCCAUUUUACAGAUGUGGAAACUGAGGCUGAGAGAGGCUUACCCAAAAUCCAGUAGCUAGUGACAGAGAUCUCCUCAUGGCCCCCUCCAGAGUCUGUGUAUAUUUGCUCAAGGGCUCUGUGUCUAUGAAAUGCAUCACUGGAACCGUCCCUCCAUGCUCUGGGAAGCAUGAAAAACUGGGUCCAGAGUCUGUUAUGACCAGCAUAUCUUAUAGCCUCUCAGGACCUCAAUUCCCUCAACUGUCAAAUAGUGGGCUGUCCUAACUAUCAUUAUGAUUGUUGCUGCCACCAAAAGUAUUAGUACUUCACAGUCCCUUCCAGCUUUCUCUCUUCCCCUGAUCAACCUUUAAAAG
rnacentral:lncRNA from 1 species